ACUGAAGGAGGAGGAGGAGGAAGAGCAUGUGUCUGUCAUCCUGUGCUGGGAAUUGUGGGAACCGCAGGGAGCAUGACAGACACAUGCUCCUCCUCCUCCUCCUCC